rnacentral:tmRNA from 1 species
GGGGGUGAACUGGAUUCGACGGGGGUCAAGAGGCAGUAGAGGCAUGCCGAGUUGUUCCGCGACUCGUAAAAAUCGUGGAGUUAAAUAUAACUGCUGAUAACAAUCAGUUAGCACUGGCUGCUUAACCAGCCACGUCCCUUCGUCUCAGCCUGCGGGGGCGGAUGGGGCGACACACAGCAGGAUAGGUUGGGAUUCGAUCUCCGGGAUUUCGGCCGAAACUAAAGGGGAUAGCGGAUGCGCGCUCCUGCCAGUCCGAACGUUGCAUUCGCGAAACUGAACGGAUUGGAUAAGCAUGUAGUCUUUGCUAGCUGAAGUCCUUCGGACGCGGGUUCGAUUCCCGCCACCUCCACCA